rnacentral:lncRNA from 1 species
AGGGCGGCGGGCCCGGGGCAGGCUGGGAGUUGUAGGCGCGGCGGAAUGCCGGGAGCUGUCGUAAACGCCGCCCGCUCGCCGUGGCGGGCCCCACAGGCGGCACCGCGGCCCGGUCGGCACCACCGGCCUCCAAACGCCGCGUUGAGGGAGGCCCGGGCCCCGUCGGUGCUGCUGGAGGAACGUUGGCUUUGUGUAUGUGCGUCCCCCCCACCCCGAGCCAUGAGGAUCAGCCCCAGGAUGGCUAGCGCGGCCCGGCCCGGGGUGGCCGCCUCAGGCCCCGCGAGAGAAGAAUUCAGGUGCCUGCUGGCGCUGAAGCGUGAUGGAGUUUUGGAGGGACAAAGCCAGGAAGCCAAGGAGACUCGGUAGUCAGCUGGCUAGCAAG